GGAGAGUUUGAUCCUGGCUCAGGAUGAACGCUGGCGGCGUGCCUAAUACAUGCAAGUCGAACGGAGUAUAUGAGCAAUUGUAUACUUAGUGGCGAACGGGUGAGUAACGCGUUGGUGACCUGCCCCGAAGCGGGGGACAACAGUUCGAAAGGGCUGCUAAUACCCCAUGUAGUUGAGAGAGACUAGAAGCUUUCAACUAAAGGAGAAAUCCACUUCGGGAGGGGCCUGCGUCCCAUCAGCUAGUUGGUAGGGUAAAAGCCUACCAAGGCGAAGACGGGUAGGGGACCUGAGAGGGUGGCCCCCCACAAUGGAACUGAAACACGGUCCAUACACCUACGGGUGGCAGCAGUAGGGAAUAUUGCACCAUGGGCGAAAGCCUGAUGCAGCAACGCCGCGU
rnacentral:rRNA from 1 species